GUAAGGAAUAUUGGUCAAUGGAGGCAACUCUGAACCAGCCAUGCCGCGUGCAGGAAGACGGCCCUCUGGGUUGUAAACUGCUUUUAUCCGGGAAUAAACCUGCCUUCGUGAAGGUAGCUGAAUGUACCGGAAGAAUAAGGAUCGGCUAACUCCGUGCCAGCAGCCGCGGUAAUACGGAGGAUCCAAGCGUUAUCCGGAUUUAUUGGGUUUAAAGGGUGCGUAGGCGGCCUGUUAAGUCAGGGGUGAAAGACGGUGGCUCAACCAUCGCAGUGCCCUUGAUACUGAUGGGCUUGAAUGGACUAGAGGUAGGCGGAAUGUGACAAGUAGCGGUGAAAUGCAUAGAUAUGUCACAGAACACCGAUUGCGAAGGCAGCUUACUAUGGUCCUAUUGACGCUGAGGCACGAAAGCGUGGGGAUCGAACAGGAUUAGAUACCCGAGUAGUCC
rnacentral:rRNA from 1 species